GGAAGUAAAAGUCGUAAACAAGGUUUCCGUAGGUGAACCUGCGGGAGGAUCAUUACAGAAAUAGGAGAAGGUUGCUUAACUGCAAUCCUUUUCUUUCUACACAUGUGUUUUCCUUUUUUUGAAAACUUUGCUUUGGUGGGCCCACGGCCUGCCAGAGAUUAAACUCAACCAAAUUUUUAUUUAAUUGUCAACUUGAUUAACUAAUAGUCAAAACUUCAACAACGGAUCUCUUGGUUCUCGCAUCGAUGAAGAACGCAGCGAAAUGCGAUAAGUAAUAUGAAUUGCAGAUAUUCGUGAAUCAUCGAAUCUUUGAACGCACAUUGCGCCCUUUGGUAUUCCAAAGGGCAUGCCUGUUUGAGCGUCAUUUCUCCCUCAAACCUUCGGGUUUGGUGUUGAGCGAUACGCUGGGUUUGCUUGAAAGAAAGGCGGAGUAUAAACUAAUAGAUAGGUUUUUUUUUUCCACUCAUUGGAACAAACUCCAAACAUUCUUCCAAAUUCGACCUCAAAUCAGGUAGGACUACCCGCUGAACUUAAGCAUAUCAAUAAGCGGAGGAAAAGAAACCAACAGGGAUUGCCCUAGUAACG
rnacentral:rRNA from 1 species